GUCGUUCAAGACCAGGACGUUGAUAGGCUGGGUGUGGAAGCGCAGCAAUGCGUUAAGCUAACCAGUACUAAUUGCUCGUGCGGCUUGACCUUAUAACCUU
rnacentral:rRNA from 1 species